UUGGUGCCUUCGGGAACUCUGAGACAGGUGCUGCAUGGCUGUCGUCAGCUCGUGUUGUGAAAUGUUGGGUUAAGUCCCGCAACGAGCGCAACCCUUAUCCUUUGUUGCCAGCGGUUCGGCCGGGAACUCAAAGGAGACUGCCAGUGAUAAACUGGAGGAAGGUGGGGAUGACGUCAAGUCAUCAUGGCCCUUACGAGUAGGGCUACACACGUGCUACAAUGGCGCAUACAAAGAGAAGCGACCUCGCGAGAGCAAGCGGACCUCAUAAAGUGCGUCGUAGUCCGGAUUGGAGUCUGCAACUCGACUCCAUGAAGUCGGAAUCGCUAGUAAUCGUAGAUCAGAAUGCUACGGUGAAUACGUUCCCGGGUCUUG
rnacentral:rRNA from 1 species